UACGGAGGGGGCUAGCGUUGUUCGGAAUUACUGGGCGUAAAGGGCGCGUAGGCGGCACUGUUAGUCAGGCGUGAAAUUCCUGGGCUCAACCUGGGGACUGCGCUUGAUACGGCAGAGCUUGAGGAUGGAAGAGGGUCGCGGAAUUCCCAGUGUAGAGGUGAAAUUCGUAGAUAUUGGGAAGAACACCGGUGGCGAAGGCGGCGACCUGGUCCAUUACUGACGCUGAGGCGCGACAGCGUGGGGAGCAAACAGG
rnacentral:rRNA from 1 species